rnacentral:rRNA from 1 species
AUUGAACGCUGGCGGCAGGCCUAACACAUGCAAGUCGAACGGUAACAGGAAACAUCUUGCUGUUUCGCUGACGAGUGGCGGGCGGGUGAGUAAUGUCUGGGAAACUGCCUGAUGGAGGGGGAUAACUACUGGAAACGGUAGCUAAUACCGCAUAACGUCGCAAGACCAAAGAGGGGGACCUUCGGGCCUCUUGCCAUCGGAUGUGCCCAGAUGGGAUUAGCUAGUAGGUGGGGUAACGGCUCACCUAGGCGACGAUCCCUAGCUGGUCUGAGAGGAUGAUCAGCCACACUGGAACUGAGACACGGUCCAGACUCCUACGGGAGGCAGCAGUGGGGAAUAUUGGACAAUGGGCGCAAGCCUGAUGCAGCCAUGCCGCGUGUAUGAAGAAGGCCUUCGGGUUGUAAAGUACUUUCAGCGGGGAGGAAGGGAGUAAAGUUAAUACCUUGGCUCAUUGACGUUACCCGCAGAAGAAGCACCGGCUAACUCCGUG